AGAGUUUGAUCCUGGCUCAGAGCGAACGCUGGUGGCAUGCUUAACACAUGCAAGUCGCACGGUAUGGGGGCAACUCCAUGCAGUGGCGGACGGGUGAGUAACGCGUAGGAAUCUAUCCUUGGAUGGGGGACAACCGUGGGAAACUACGGCUAAUACCGCAUGAUGCCUGAGGGCCAAAGCUCGUGAGAGCGUCUGGGGAGGAGCCUGCGUCUGAUUAGGAGUUGGUGGGGUAAAGGCCUACCAAGCCUGCGAUCAGUAGCUGGUCUGAGAGGAUGAUCAGCCACAUUGGGACUGAGACACGGCCCAAAACUCCUACGGGAGGCGAC
rnacentral:rRNA from 1 species